rnacentral:rRNA from 1 species
UACGUAGGGUGCAAGCGUUGUCCGGAAUUAUUGGGCGUAAAGAGCUCGUAGGCGGUCUGUCGCGUCUGCUGUGAAAACUCAGGGCUUAACCCUGAGCUUGCAGUGGGUACGGGCAGACUAGAGUGCGGUAGGGGAGACUGGAAUUCCUGGUGUAGCGGUGAAAUGCGCAGAUAUCAGGAGGAACACCGGUGGCGAAGGCGGUUACCUGGAGCUUUGCUGACGCUGAUGCGCGAAAGCGUGGGGAGCGAUCCGG